UACGGGGGGGGCAAGCGUUGUUCGGAAUUACUGGGCGUAAAGGGUUUGUAGGUGGCUUGCUAGGUCAGACGUGAAAUCCCUCAGCUUAACUGGGGAACUGCGUCUGAUACUGGCGAGCUUGAGUGCAGGAGAGGAACGCGGAAUUCCAGGUGUAGCGGUGAAAUGCGUAGAUAUCUGGAGGAACACCGGUGGCGAAGGCGGCGUUCUGGACUGUAACUGACACUGAGAAACGAAAGCCAGGGUAGCAAACGGG
rnacentral:rRNA from 1 species